rnacentral:lncRNA from 1 species
AAUGAAAUUUUAAACUAAAGAAUUUGAUGCAAUUAAGUUGUUCGAUGAUAUGCCUACAACAACUAAACAAUUCAUUUGGUUAGUGAAACUGUAAAGCAAGUGAAGAAUAAACCCCUUCAAAAGGGUAUAGACUCUAAUAACAGACCCGAGAUAAACGAAGAAGUUCAUGAGAGUUUGUCACGACCCUAAAUCCACACACGGUCGUGAUGGCGCCUCUCAUGAAGACAAGGCCGGCCGACACUUUCCCAUUCCAGUUUUAAGCAAUUUAACAGUAAGUAUUAUGUCUUAAACUCGAUAAAAUUCCAAAUAAUAAGCAGUGAACAUUACAGUUUGCGGAAAUAAAACCCAACACAGCCUGAUACCAGCAGAUUAUAUAUAUUUUUAAAUACUCACUAAACAUUAUCGAAAUUAUUAGUUUUAACUAAUAAAUAUCCAGCCCCCUUGUGAUGAUGUUGGGAAGGUUGAUUAUGUUGCCGCUGUAAGGGAGAUUGUAGGUUGUGAGGAGAAAAAUGGAGAAGGCGAGAUAUUAGGAGUCAAUGUGUGAGUGAAAUAUCAACAGACCACUAACUCAUUAAGCCAACCUGCAAAUCAGGAGAUACAAUUUAUAAUCCAAGCUAGACAGGGUACUAUAUCAGAUUAGAAGAUAUGAUAAGGACGAGAAUACUGAUAUGCAGAGUGAGUUUUACCCACAGACUAAGAACAGAUUAAUAAUAACCCGAGAAGACAAAAUUGAGAAUGUAUCUUAAGCAACACUUCUCAAGUAAUGAGUAAUCUGAAUCAUAGUGAAAUUAAUAGAGUAGCAAAUUGUGUGAAUCCAUACCUUUUGACUCUUUUUCAAGUUUUAUUUUAAAACAAUAAUAAAGAUGAUCAAGAAGAAUGUUUUGUCAACCUAUUUGUACUGUUUAAUAAGGCACAUGGUAUUUAAGAUAUUAUAUUUGUACAAAUAAUAUGUUGGCGCUAUAUGUUUCAUGUUACUAACUAUAGAGGUGAAUGAAAGUCUUAAACUGAUCUUGCAUCAUCAAGUUCCUUGUUAGUCUUUUCAAUACAGUUUCAAUUAUAGGAUCCUCUAUUUCUAUUUUUGGUUAGAGGAAUAAUGUUUGGCAUGAUAUUUUCUUGUAUAAAGAACUUCGCUUUUGGUUGGAAAAAAGUGGAUCCAUUAAUGGAUUAUCACAAUUUUAUCUGCAAUCAGGGUACUACUCUCUAUUAUAUAUUUGACUUUUCAUCUAUGUUUUUCCAUCAACUCAAAGUUGGUUGUGAUUUACAUACUUUUUGAUCAACCCAAAAUUGAUUGUGAUUUACAUGAUUUUUGAAGGUAAUAUAAAACUUCUCUGCUUUUCAGGAAUAUUGAAUGUUAGAGGAUGACAACUAAAUUGGGGACUAUUGCUUGUACACACGAGGAGUGACGGAUUAAGUGUGUGUUUGUUAUCUAGAAGAAAUUAAGUAUAGCUUUUGGAUGUUAUAUCUGUGAUAGUUGGAUGCAUCUUUUCCACAUAUUAUAUAAAUAAGUGUUGUUGGUCAUUAGGUUAUCAAAAUCUUAUAUUAUAUGUUAUGCUGCCCA